rnacentral:sRNA from 1 species
CCGCCCAAUGCGCCGCCCACACCUGCUUCGGUGGUGCCGCCAGCGGAGGCCAUGCCACUGACCAGGCCAAGGGACAACAAGAGAAUCGAGGAGAACUUCAUGGAGGAACCUCAAGGGGAUGACGACGCGAUCCUGAGGCUGUGUACUGGGCGUGACAAUCGAAAUCCGACGAGUAACACGACUUCAGCACAUUUCUAUAAGUUACUGUUUUUUGGGCGGAACUUAAUGGUUUUUCGCCGGUCUUUUACUACUUCGGAUAGGCCGUUUUCAUGAGAAAACGGCCUUUUUUGUGGGCGUUUGGAAGGUGGUUGAUCAUGGCCGGGACAGGUGUUGCAAGGUCAUACCCCUUCGCGGGCAAGAUGUCGCGUCAAGCCGAUUUGGCCAGGAUCAACCCUGUCUCACUCGCCGCUUCCAACCGGAUCGCCACGAA